UACGGAGGGUGCGAGCGUUACUCGGAAUUACUGGGCGUAAAGAGUGCGUAGGUGGUUGAAUAAGUUAUCUGUAAAAUCCCUGGGCUUAACCUGGGCAGGUCAGAUGAUACUGUUUGACUCGAGUAUGGGAGAGGGUAGUGGAAUUUCCGGUGUAGCGGUGAAAUGCGUAGAGAUCGGAAGGAACACCAGUGGCGAAGGCGGCUACCUGGCCUAAUACUGACACUGAGGCACGAAAGCGUGGGGAGCAAACAGG
rnacentral:rRNA from 1 species